CCGAUAGUGAACCAGUACCGUGAGGGAAAGGCGAAAAGAACCCCGGCGAGGGGAGUGAAAAAGAACCUGAAACCGUGUACGUACAAGCAGUGGGAGCCCCACCACUAAGCCAGUGGUGAACUCCACAUACGCAUCCUUUGCUGAGGAUACGGUUAACGGAGCGAAAGCGACGUUCAACCGCAAAAGAAGCAGAGGGGGCUUAGUGGUGGGGUGACUGCGUACCUUUUGUAUAAUGGGUCAGCGACUUAUAUUCUGUAGCAAGGUUAACCGAAUAGGGGAGCCGGAGGGAAACCGAGUCUUAACCGGGCGUUAAGUUGCAGGGUAUAGACCCGAAACCCGGUGAUCUAGCCAUGGGCAGGUUGAAGGUUGGGUAACACUAACUGGAGGACCGAACCGACUAAUGUUGAAAAAUUAGCGGAUGACCUGUGGCUGGGGGUGAAAGGCCAAUCAAACCGGGAGAUAGCUGGUUCUCCCCGAAAGCUAUUUAGGUAGCGCCUCGUGAAUUCAUCUCCGGGGGUAGAGCACUGUUUCGGCUAGGGGGCCAUCCCGGCUUACCAACCCGAUGCAAACUGCGAAUACCGGAGAAUGUUAUCACGGGAGACACACGGCGGGUGCUAACGUCCGUCGUGAAGAGGGAAACAACCCAGACCGCCAGCUAAGGUCCCAAAGUCAUGGUUAAGUGGGAAACGAUGUGGGAAGGCCCAGACAGCCAGGAUGUUGGCUUAGAAGCAGCCAUCAUUUAAAGAAAGCGUAAUAGCUCACUGGUCGAGUCGGCCUGCGCGGAAGAUGUAACGGGGCUAAACCAUGCACCGAAGCUGCGGCAGCGACGCUUAUGCGU
rnacentral:rRNA from 1 species